UGUGCAGGUUAAGCGCACGGAGGAUCGGGUGAAUUGGUUGGGAUUUUCUAUAAACAACCGGCAGCCUCAAUUUCCUGGGCGGACAGGUCGGCGGACUCAGGCGUUUUUAAGCGAUCCCGAUUUUGGGCCCACUCUGUUCUGUGAAAGAUGCGUCCCUUUGAUGUUUCCAAGCGAGCUGGGGUUGGAGCCGCAGCAACAGCCUCGAGAAGAGAAUCUAAACUUGUUGCGCCUCAUAUUCUGUGGAUCAUUAGGAAAAAUAUAUUCAAAACAAGAUACUAAUUGAUAUUGGGAGAAGUGCAUACUCUCAUCUCUGCUUGCAAGAAAGUGGCAUUCUGUACCCUUCUAAAGGACAAUACAUCAAGGCUGACUGUGCAGCUAAAUUGAAUAGCAGUCGUAC